AGUGUCAACUUUGUCUCCUCACCCUAAAAGGCAGAUUUUACACUUUCAUCACCUGCCACCUGAAAUGACUGGAGACAUUUCAUUCCUCCAUUGUAACUUAGGCUGGAGUGAGGCGAGGGGAGGGAGUCGCAGAACUUGGAGUCCUGGCCCCAGAAUAACAGGGCUUACCAAAAAUGACCCAUUAAUUGAUCGAGGCUGUCAAGCACCUUUCAAAUGGUUGCUACAUUUACUGAAAGCUCCCUCUGUGCCAAGAACCCUUCUGAGCAAUUUGUGUCAAGUUACUGAACACUCUGGAAAAUCCUAUGAGCUGGAGCACACGCGCUCUGCCCACACCUGCCAGAGUGCUGUUCUCCAAAACCCCUGGGUUUCUUCACGGUCCCUGCCAACAAAGUUCCCACCUCCUCCUCACUUCUUGCCUGUUCUCUGCUUGAAACAGCCAACCAGCUAAAGACAGGGUUUCUCUCCUGAGUGCUGGGAGUAAAGGCGUGCGACACCACGCCUGGCAUGGACUAAUACUCUUAAGCAUGGCUUUACAAAUGUUGUUGAGGCUGGAGAAGCCUCUCAUCAGCUAAGAGCACUUCCAGAGGGCCCAGCUUCCAUUCUCAGCAUCCACGUGAGGCUCAUAACCAUCUGUAACUUCAGUUCCAGGAGAUCUGAUGCCUUCUUCUGCUCUCCAUGAACCUCAGGCUGCUGUCUGCUUGGUCAUUGCCCAGGCCAACAUCUGUGCACCUCAGACAUUUGAUGAAGAUGUAGAGCUCUCAGCUCCUUCUGCACCAUGCCUGCCUGGAUGCUGCCACGUUCCUGCCUUGAUGAUAAUGGACUGAACCUCUAAGCCAGCCCCAACUAAAUGUUGUCCUUAUAAGAGUUGCCUUGGUCAUUGUGUCUGUUCAUAGCAGUAAAACCCUAACUGAGACAGCCUGCAUGGAUGUGUGUGCACUUCUCACAUUCUUGGUGCUGGUGGAGGCCAGAAGAGGGCAUCAGAUACUGGAGCUAAAGUUACAGAUGGUUG